UACUAGCCCUGAUUGAAACGGCAUCCUUUUUUGUUGCGGGCGGAGCAUAAACUGGAGGUUUACGAACGUGUUCAGGAGCCCGUAACAAAAAAGAUACAGUGGAAAGCAGGAAACAGC
rnacentral:sRNA from 1 species